CUCCCCGUUGCUGACCCCAGGUUCGAUAGCGCCAAUUAGGCGCCACCUCGCCAAGAACCAGCUUCGGUGAAGCGACGGGCGGUGUGUGCGAGGAG
rnacentral:rRNA from 1 species